UGGGGAAUAUUGCACAAUGGAGGGAACUCUGAUGCAGCGACGCCGCGUGAACGAAGAAGGCUUUCGAGUCGUAAAGUUCUUUUAUAUGGGAAGAUAAUGACGGUACCAUAAGAAAAAGCCCCGGCUAACUACGUGCCAGCAGCCGCGGUAAUACGUAGGGGGCUAGCGUUGUCCGGAAUCACUGGGCGUAAAGGGUUCGCAGGCGGAAAUGCAAGUCAGGUGUAAAAGGCAGUAGCUUAACUACUGUAAGCAUUUGAAACUGCAUAUCUUGAGAAGAGUAGAGGUAAGUGGAAUUUUUCGUGUAGCGGUGAAAUGCGUAGCUAUUAAAAAGAAUACCGGUGGCGAAGGCGACUUACUGGGCUCAUUCUGACGCUGAGGAACGAAAGCGUGGGUAGCAAACAGG
rnacentral:rRNA from 1 species